AAGAAGGCGCUUCGAGUAGUUGGAUACAAUAAUAUACGUUAAGCAAACCGUUAUACGUUACGUCACGAUGGGUACGCAUAUUCUGAGGUUACAUUUAACAUUUGUUUCAAGCUCAAUUUUCGCCGGUAUCGUUUAGGGAUUUUUCGCACUUUCUAGUGACCUUCUUAGCAACGUAAUUAUUAUAUGUAUGUGUAAAUGGGAAAUGAGGCAUUUUUCCAGUAUGCACAAGGAUUCAAGAGAAAACGAAUUCCAAGAUCGGUAUGUACUCUUUAGAUAGAAUUCCAUGCAGUGUUAUGGUUCAAUGGCACAGAAGGCUAAGAGGAUACGAAUCGAAGACUGGAGGAAGUGACGUAUGGAAUGUGAAUCAAAAGACGCAUUUCCAUAAGGAGAGUAGUAGGAUCCGAGAGUAAUGGCUGUGACACAGUGGUAAACGAGUAUCUCCGUUAUAACGAACAGAUCGACGUUGAAUAAAAGAGGCUGUUAAAUUCUCAUAGUUUCUUGCAGGGAAUUGCGAGAGGGAAAAUAAUAUGAGCUAAAUAAGGAGUACAGACAAGAAGGUAAUCUUGGUAAGAUGGCCACGCGAUAAUAGAAAGCGCAACUUCGAUCCACCAUAUUAAGAAUAAUUAAAGAACUGAUUAAUUAUCCAAUUGUGAAUCGACCUUUACUUACAACCAUGGAUAGCACUAAUAGGAAGAUCACUAUCGAUAAGCACCUUAAGGUCCUUGCAAGAAUUGUCAAAGACUCAUGCGUACUGGUUUUAUAAUGUACCAUGUUUAUAUAUUGUCUACUGAUUUAUUGAAUCAGGAACUGUAUUGGAACUAUCUAUUCCUGGUUCUCUUGGUGCUGAUUAUAGACUGCAAACAGAAAAAGAUGCCAACAAACUAUUAAUGAUAGACAAUAAGAUAAAUAAAGCUGCCACAAGAACAGUGCAAUGGAAAGUAUUGGCAAUGAAUGUGGCCAUUGAAAAUGCUAUCUGAAGUGAAUCACUCUGUAUACUGUAAUAAGUUUCUGCGCAGGGGUCAAAUGUUAAACCAAAGUCCCUGUACAAGAUACAAUUUUCUAUCACCUUUGUCCAAGAAUAAAUUUGUAACCUUACGGUAACACAAAGAGGAAUGCAUUGUCUUACUAUUAAAGGUACUGGAUACUGGAGGCUAUCAAUUGUUUCAGUCACUAUACUAUUGUUUCCAUAUAAAAUUGCUCUUGUCAAAAGUCUUGAGUGACCAACUGCUUAUGAAACAUCCUAUACUAUCAUAUACCGGGUUACUCAGACAAAACGCACCACCUAAAGAUUGCGUGCUUAUCCAUUUUAUUCAUAUGGCAAAACGCCGUUCGGAUGGUGCAAUUUGGCUUAAUAACUGGGUAUACAUAUAUUCUAGCACAAAUAUAGAUAGGUAUUGGAAUAUUAAUUCUAUUAUUAUAGA